AUCGCGAGAUCAGGAAGGUGGCCGAGUGUUUCGCCGCGGCCAUCAGGCACUUCUCCUUCCUGCCAUUGUAUGAAGAAGGAUGUGUUUGCUUCCCCUUGUGCCAUGAUUGUAAGUUUCCUGAGGCCUCCUCAGCCCUGCGGAACUGGCUAGAGCAAUGUAUCUUAGGCUCACUUAAGGAAGCUGUAGAGAUGAGCCCAAGGAGGGAAACCAGAAGAGCCCCCCAGGCUCGCCAGUUGUUUGUUGGCUCCCUACAAACAUGUCAUUCAAGUGGCUAAUCUUACAACAGCACAAAUUCAUCUAACCAGAAAGAGAAGAGGAGGCUCCAAAGGCACUUGACUACUGAGCAUCACCCUGGACGUGUACAAGUCUGCGUCCUUAUUGUUUUCUUCAUUGGGCCGAACUUUCUGGUCCUCAUCCAACAGCUCUUCUAUCACGUGUUCGAAAGUGUCAGCCAACGAUGUCAAGCCUCUUGAACCUGCCUUGGGCCCAUUCACGCUCUCCAGAGUCCCAUGGGUCCGCACACCUGGAGAUACUCUAUUAUAGCAAAGAAGAAAGAUAAUUUCAUUGAGCCAUCCUGUUUUACAGCACCCAACAGAAUCCCUUCAAAGCCUGGUGGUCUGACACCCUAUGCUACGUGACUCGUGACCCAUCCAUUUGUCAUGUUGUUUGGGAAUGUGGCUAAGGGGCUGAGAUGUGACUUGAAAAGAAAGGUAGAACCAGAUCAUCUCAAAUUUAUUAUCAAGGAAUAGUUCAGACAACGACUUCCGACCACAGAGACAGCAGAACAGAUGGUCCGACAUGGAUAGAGCAUCAGACACUCACAGACUGUGCCAACAAGAGCCAUCGAGUCAAAACCGCCAAAGGAAGGAGGGUCAUGGAAUGGGUUCUCUCACACCAAACUGAUGCCCAGAGGCCCUUGGCAUGAAUAACAAAGGCAACCAGACCCACAAGCCAUACUGAGUGGAUACAAAACCUAUACCUAGGCUGACAUCCCAAAUGUGUGUGGCAAGUUAGAUGAUGAUGGCACAAAAGACAGAACACCUUGCUUCUGGCCAUUGUCAGCUCUUGGAAGAGAGCACACUUUUAGAGGAGCAGCUGCAAGGAGCCUGAGAACAAAACUAGAAAUGUCUGUUAUGAAAGCCUUCGCAGGAAAUUCUGCAAGUGGCAACGUGGGUCAUUCCGUGUGUGUCACUAGAGCUGGCGCAAGCCCAUGGCCAUGGUGAGGCAGUGUUUCCACUGGAACUAAUCUGAUACCUGCACCAGCUCUUGGAACUGUGCAGUGUUCCCACUGCAAACUACGGAUGGGAGAAGAUAAAGAAGUUCAAUCUUUAAAAAAGAGAGGAUUUUCCCUCCUGGUGAGUCAAAAUGAACAAGAAAUACCCCAGGACCUCCCUUCCCUCCUUGGCCAUUAAUGAGAUUAAGGCAAUUAACUCACAUAGUAUAAAUGAAUCAUUUGAGGUGAUGACUGCAUUUUAGGCAAAUGAUGACUUUCUUGGUUCCAUUGGUUUGCAAGUAAAAGUUACACACAUUGAAAAGACACUGAAACAGAUUUCCUAAAUGCUUCAUUUUCUGGAUGCACCAAUGUUGACCUACUAUACCUGUUAAAUGGUUUUAAAAUAUCACCUUAAAAUAAAGGAAACUUCCAGCUACUAACUCAGCUCUGAAUGGGCUAUGAAAGGCUCCAAAGGUAUGUGAAAAAUUACUGUUAUUUUGCUUUAAAAAAUGUGAUGUCUAAGAGUGUCUGCAAUGUUCUAAUGCUUCAAAACAUGUACGUAAGCCUUGUUUAUCUGGAAAUCAUUUCUUUCUGCUUAUAUCAUUUAUAAAUAGAAAAUGUUCUGUAAUAACUUAAAAUAGUUCCACAUACAUAAUGCUUUUCGUGUCAUAAUACUUACUACUGGUCUAUAUUUACCAACAUUUAUCACAUUUUACAAAAUGAAGUAGAAGAAAAAAAAAGACAACGACUUUAUGGCCCUGGAAUUCCAGUAAUGGUGACCAACAUGUUUUAAAUUCCAGUAAAGGUUAUGGUUACAUUUCAACAA
rnacentral:antisense_RNA from 1 species